rnacentral:rRNA from 1 species
UACGUAGGGGGCUAGCGUUGUCCGGAAUCAUUGGGCGUAAAGAGCGUGUAGGCGGCUAGAUAGGUCCGUUGUGAAAACUCGAGCUCAACCUCGAGACGCCGGUGGAAACCAUCUAGCUAGAGUCCGGAAGAGGAGAGUGGAAUUCCUGGUGUAGCGGUGAAAUGCGCAGAUAUCAGGAAGAACACCCGUGGCGAAGGCGGCUCUCUGGGACGUGACUGACGCUGAGACGCGAAAGCGUGGGGAGCGAACAGG